rnacentral:rRNA from 1 species
AGCCAGACUCCUACGGGAGGCAGCAGUGAGGAAUAUUGGUCAAUGGUCGGGAGACUGAACCAGCCAAGCCGCGUGAGGGAUGGAGGUACAGAGUAUCGUAAACCUCUUUUGUCAGGGAACAAAGGCGGGGACGCGUCCCCGGAUGAGUGUACCUGAAGAAAAAGCAUCGGCUAACUCCGUGCCAGCAGCCGCGGUAAUACGGAGGAUGCGAGCGUUAUCCGGAUUUAUUGGGUUUAAAGGGUGCGUAGGCGGGAUGCCAAGUCAGCGGUAAAAUACGGGGGCUCAACCUGCGUCCGCCGUUGAAACUGGCGUUCUUGAGUGGGCGAGAAGUACGCGGAAUGCGUGGUGUAGCGGUGAAAUGCAUAGAUAUCACGCAGAACUCCGAUUGCGAAGGCAGCAUACCGGCGCCCAACUGACGCUGAAGCACGAAAGCGUGGGUAUCGAACAGGAUUAGAUACCCUUGUAC